AUAAAAAUAGAAAAAGACCAUAAACCGGGUUGAUUCGGCGGUUCAACCGGUUGAACCGUGAACCGGUCAUCAUACCGGGUCAACCAAUUAAAUUAUUGGUUUUAUAUGUUUAUGCAUUAUGCAUGAAAGUAAAAAUAUAUAAAAAUAGAAAAAAAACCAUAAACCGGGUUAACUCGGCAGUUCAACCGGUUGAACCGUGCUCCGAUAAUCAUUCCGGAUCAACCAAAAACCCAUUUUUGAAAACUUUGACCACCUAUUACAUUCAUCCUUUUUGUUCAAUUACAUGCUCCAUUGGCCCCAAAAAUACAAAAGAUUUUUAAGAGUCAACAAGUCAACAUGAGAUGACAAAAACCAAAGGCGGAACCUACUGUUCCAUUGCUCUUUCGAGAUAUGACCUUUGCCGGAACCACGCAUUGACCAAAGCAACCUCAGUACCAUCGCCGCCACCAGGUUCGAUCGUCGGUUACCUAUGUUUGAUUAAUUGCUGCCUACAACCAAACUAGCCCCAACAGCCUUCAACCGAUGUUACAGCAUCACUGGUCAACUAUCUCCAUCAACAUGUCAACAAUCGAGGCUCCUUCACUACCAAUACCGGCGACCAAGCACAAGAGGCGAGCUCGCUGCUGCGACCUCCAAUAGACCAUCUAACAAACCAGUCACCAAUUAUCACUGUCAGACUAUACCUGUCGAAGACCUCCUUCAAGAGUGACUUGGCGGAGUAGCGAUGUCAGCGGAAUCGAUGCACCAACCGCCAUGCCAUCUCCUAUCAACCCAAUAAGCAUGUGCUGCCGGCGAUCCGUAUCCACUCCGAUCUCGUGCUGAAAAGGACGAAUUCCGACAAAGAAUCAGAAAAACCUCCAACGGUCACUAUCCGCCUCCUCUUCACCACAAAGUGCCCCAAUCUCCGCCAUCAUCGCCUAAUCAAACCAUUGUCGCCGGAGGAAUUCGCAGCUUCGAUCCCAUUCAUAGCCAACAAAACUCUGGUGAGGACCACUAGCAAACGACUGCGUUCAACAUCGCGCUCACUCGUUGCUUCCAAUAUUCAUCGCCGGUCGCCAGCAUCAACCUUCGGACCACCACCGUUCGUCCCUAACUCCGAAGAAGAAUUCCUGACUAUAAUUGUUGAUCCUCCAAAGUAGCGAAGCCGACAAAAUGAAGAUUUGGUUCGAGCCUUCACCUCCGUGUCCGUCAUGAAGCUCACAGUGGACCCAACUGCCUGAUUUGUUCCAUGUAGACGACAAAAAGAAAUUAGGGCACUAGCCCACAUCUCGUAUCUGGCCGAUUAAUGAAUAACUGGGCCGAUAACUUGGACACAUACACUCAUUUUGGGCUCCAUGACAAUUGAGUCCCAACAGAUUUAUUUUGGGCUUGCAUUUCAUUAUAUUGAGCUACUCAACAAACAAAAUGGAUCAAUUUUACAAGACAAAAAAAAACAACUACUCAGUACUCAUGUGCUGCUAGCUACGCCCAACGGAAUGCGUUGCGGCUCGAGCUUUGGCGACCUUUCCAAAAAAAAAGAGGGAGAAGAGUAGUACGCUAUUGCUACUCGUGAAGCGUUUAGAGAAAACAGUGACAGGCAAUAUGAAUUGAUUUAUUAUUUCAAGAAAAAAUAGUAACUAUUUGAUCGGGUUGUCUUUUCAGAUAAUCACUCCAGCACUGCGACACUCAGACUCAGCCAAAAACAAACUCGCGGAGCAAAGCUCGGUCAGUAAAGCAUUUACAGGGGACUUUCGAAAUGUGCACCGCGGACCAGUCACUCAAAGUUCCUAUCUAGUGGGCAUAGAAAUAUAACUCCCCACCUGGUGUUGGCUGCGGGUCUCGUCCUCCUCACCGAGGCUUUGAAGCUCGACAACAGUCUUAGAGACUCUAUGGAGAGGUUACGGUUCUUAGCUACCCCGACCCAACAUUUCAUCGACAUCAGUGUCACGUAACACUCUUUAGCAGCCUCGGUCUGUAUUAUCGCAGCAACAACUACGUUGCAUCUUAUCAACUGGAUCAUACUCCUAACAAGGAAAGGUCAUUAAGCCAACCCAUGCUUGGCUCAUGGCGCAACCCCACAACUCUCGUGGGAGAGGUACUUCCGAUACUAAGGGGAAGGGCCCAACAUGAUGGCACAACACACUCUCCUGUUAUUUCUAUAUUUUUGAUAUUGUACUCUGAUGACACAACAGUUUUACAUUGUGAUGGUUGUGGAUGACUUUUAUAGCUAUGGUACUUGUUUAUUUUACAAAAAUGAAAAUGAAAAAUUUUAUUCGGGUUUUUGGGUUGUUACCAAUUGGUAUUAGAGCCUUGGUUUGAGGGAUUUGGGCACACUCUGAGGUGUGUCAAAACUCAAACUGAGGAAAUGAUAAUCUUUUCAAAAAAAAGAAUUGAAUUUCUGAAAAAGGUUCUCUUAAGUAAAAAAAAAAAGGAGAGUGUAAUGCGUGCGAUCGGUCGAGCUCAAGUAAGUGUUUCCAAAAUUAUCCAUGCUUAUAAAUUAUGAUUAGUGUGCUUGAUAUGUGAAUUGCAUGCUAGAGUAAGGAUAAGGAUACCUUCAGGAACUAUGUAAUAGAAUUGCCUGACUUGUGCAAUGCCUUAUAGCCUAG